CCUCCUCGAUCUGCUGCGGGCAGAUGAAAUGGAUAUGGCUGUCGAAGCCGCCGGCGGUGAGGAUCUUGCCCUCCCCCGCGAUCACCUCGGUGCCGGGGCCGAUGAUGAUGUCCACCCCGUUCUGCACAUCGGGAUUGCCGGCCUUGCCGAGGCGGACGAUGCGGCCGUUCUUGAGGCCCACGUCGGCCUUCACCACACCCCAGUGGUCCAGCACCACCGCAUUGGUGAUGACGGUGUCCACCGCCCCGUCGGCGUUCGCCACCUGCGACUGGCCCAUGCCGUCGCGGAUG
rnacentral:sRNA from 1 species